AAUUGGAGCCAGAAGACUCGGUAAUACCAAAUACACAAACGUUAGUCAUCAUAAAUAGGCGUAAAGGGUUUGUAGGCUGCUCAUAAUCAUAUAUUAAGAGCUAGAAUCAAAUAGAGGUCAAUAUCAUACCUAGUGAAAGAAUUAAAUCUGUAAAUAUUAGGGGGAAUACUAGAAGCGAAGGCGAUUUUCCAUUUAAUGAUUGACGCUGAGACACGAAGGUUGGGGCAGGAAAUAGGAUUAGAUACCCUAGCACUCCCAACUGUAAACGAUGAAUGGUAGGUGUUAAUUAAAUUAAAGUUAGCACCGAUGUGAACACGUUAACCAUUCCGCCUUGUGAGUAUACUUGCAAAAGUGAAAACAAAAAAA
rnacentral:rRNA from 1 species